rnacentral:rRNA from 1 species
UACGUAGGGUGCGAGCGUUGUCCGGAAUUACUGGGCGUAAAGAGCUCGUAGGUGGUUUGUCGCGUUGUUCGUGAAAACCGGGGGCUUAACCCUCGGCGUGCGGGCGAUACGGGCAGACUUGAGUACUGCAGGGGAGACUGGAAUUCCUGGUGUAGCGGUGGAAUGCGCAGAUAUCAGGAGGAACACCGGUGGCGAAGGCGGGUCUCUGGGGUAACACUGACGCUCAUGCACGAAAGCGUGGGGAGCAAACAGG